rnacentral:lncRNA from 1 species
AUGGAUGACGUUUGGAGGGGCAAGAACGGCAGGGACUGCAGGCUGCUCCAGCCGGCGGUCCUGGGGGUCCUGCUGGCGGUGAUCGUGGUGCUGGCAGUGACCCUGGGCUACUCUGGGACCAAAACCUGCGACGCCUGCGAAGAUGGCCUCCGGGCAGAGGCGAGGUGCCACAAUAUCACCGACCACCUGCAGGACCGGCUGACCCGGGCGCAGAAGACUUUGCAGGAUGCCCGUGCCCUCUGCGACAGCACCGUGGAAAAUCUGAAUGCUGCCCUGGCCGAGAUGAAAACGCAAGAAGAGCAGCAACGGAAGCAAGUGCAGGACCUCAAAAAUGAGAUCGAGGAUUUGAAGCAGAAGCUACAGAGGGCGGAGGAGGAGGCGCAGCUGCUGAGGCCGCAGCCUGCGGGCGGAGGGCGGAUGGAUGCGAUGGAUGCGAAUGGGCUCCCUGGCUUCGAAGUCCCCAGACCCGCCGAUCUGCGGGGUGUCGGGUUGGGGGUGGGGUGGGGCUCCUCUGCCGCUUCUCGGGGUCACGGUUGGGGUCUCUUCCUUCUGGGGUCUUCUGCUCCAAAACAAUAAACACUCCUUUCGAGAGGAAAGAACUUGUUCUCAGUUCCUGGAAGUCACUGUCGCCUGAGUUCAGGGUUAGCCCCCAUGGGUGAGCGUGGGAACCCCUCUGCGCCACACCCCGAAGUCCUGCGACCCCUCCACCAUGCCAGGGUGCCCAGCUGCCUCUUCCUGAAAGCUCCCUCAGGACCUCACCUGGUGUGCAGAGCCCGGAUGCCCCCCUGCCCGUCCUCGUGGGGAACCUGAGGCUGGGGAGGGUAACCGUGCUGCUUUUCCUGCCUCCUGCAGAAAGCGUACGGUUUGGAUUUAAACCUGAAUCCCCAGGCACAUCUAGGCCGGGCCUCUCUCAGAAUGUUAUCUGCAACCCCCAAGCUCUUAUUCAUCCUUCAGCACCCGCUAUGGGGCGCCCGCCCCAGAAAAGCACUUGAAAGUGACAGCCACAGUCCCGCAGAUGCCUCCCUCACCCACAUCUGGGUUCCUGCCAGGCCCUACGGUCCGGGCCUGGCCUUAUCUUUCUUCCUCCAUGUUCCCUUGGAAUCCAUGCAAUUUCCUGUCUGUGGCAAUGGGGCUCGGAGCCUUGGGUCCCAGAUUUCGGCCACCUCCUCGGGUCCCACAGUGUCCGGGUCACAUGGUCAGUGGGAGAGAAGCUCCGGGGACCCCAAAUCCGCCUGUGCUUGCUUCCGCUGGAGCAACCAAAGCCAGGGGUGCAGGGUCGCCAGCCCAGGGACCUUUGGGCUGGGAGGCUGUGUGUGGACCGUCCCAGCCCCGGAGAUGUACAGGACCUAUCUGGUGGCGCAGUUUGGGGGUGCAAGGGUGCCCCGGAAAGGGAAGAGCCGCUUCCUGGGUCUGCAGGGAUGAGGCAAUGAGCUGGGGAGGGGCCUAGAUUUAGUGAGACCUUGUGUCAAAAUUUUAAAAAUCCAAAGAGGGCUGGGGAUGCAGCUCAGUGCAAAGGCCCUGGGUACCACCCCCGCACCACAAAGAUAAACAUAAAGAAAUAAACGCUACUUAUUAGGACCGAGGAUUUAGCUCAGUAGCACCCCGCUUGUGUACCCUCCAAAUUAAAAUAGAAUAAAUGUGUCAGACUUGGGCCCAGAACCUGCUCUUCAGGGUGAACUUGGUGUCCCCUUGCAGGACGGUAGGGACAGACUCAGGGGGCCCAGCCGGGGCUAAGCCCCCCCACACCGUGUAGGUGCACAAAUCAGGGUCACAGAAGUUCCUGCAGGGCCAGGUGGUUUCCACACACUAUGAGAGAAAGGCACAGAGAGAGAGGCGCUGUGGGCCAGGCUCCACCUGUGGCUCCUGCCCUCUACCGGGACUGAGACACUGUCACUUUUUCUGACUUUGACCCCCACCCGGUAAGCACCAGCCUGUGCAGUACUGGGACCAGGUGCUCACCCAGGGUGCUGGGGUGGCAAUGGGUGUCAGGAAGGUGAAGUGUCAGGAAGGGAUGGGGACCAAGCCGGUCUUGAGGAUUCAGUGGCCUGGGAAAGAGGGAAGAGGGACUCAGGCGGGCCUGGGCUCAGUGCAAAGGCCCUGGGGCAGGAAGAGUAGGGGGAAGGAAGGGAGGGGAGACAGGAGGGGAAGGAGGAAGAAGCGUAAGGGAGGGGGAAGAGAAGGAACCCAGGACUGAUGCGGUCCAGUGGGGUAUGGACAAGAAGGGGGGGAGGGAACGAGGUUUGGGCAGAGGGGAGGAGCUGGCAGGUGUCGCUCGCGUGCUGAGCGCGCCCCCUGGCGCUGAGCCGUGGCCACCACCUGAUCCUGUCGCCCGCCCGCGCUCGG